UAAAGUUGUUGCAGUUAAAAGCUCGUAGUUGAAUUUCUGGCAUGGGCGACCGGUGCUUUCCCUGAAUGGGGAUUGAUUGUCUGUGUUGCCUUGGCCAUCUUUCUCAUGCUUUUUUUGGGAAGAAAUCUUUCACUGUAAUCAAAGCAAAGUGUUCCAAGCAGGUCGUAUGACCGGUAUGUUUAUUAUGGGAUGAUAAGAUAGGACUUGGGUGCUAUUUUGUUGGUUUGCACGCCUGAGUAAUGGUUAAUAGGAACAGUUGGGGGUAUUCGUAUUUAGGAGCUAGAGGUGAAAUUCUUGGAUUUCCGAAAGACGAACUAGAGCGAAGGCAUUUACCAAGCAUGUUUUCAUUAAUCAAGAACGAAAGUCUGGGGAUCGAAGAUGAUUAGAUACCAUCGUAGUCUAGACCGUAAACAAUGCCAACUUGCGAUUGUUGGGUGCUUUUUUAUGGGCCUCAGCAGCAGCACAUGAGAAAUCAAAGUCUUUGGGUUCCGGGGGGAGUAUGGUCGCAAGGCUGAAACUUAAAGGAAUUGACGGAAGGGCACCACCAGGAGUGGACCCUGCGGCUUAAUUUGACUCAACACGGGAAAACUUACCAGGUCCAGACAUAGGUAGGAUU
rnacentral:rRNA from 1 species